CCUACGGGAGGCAGCAGUGAGGAAUAUUGGUCAAUGGGCGCGAGCCUGAACCAGCCAAGUAGCGUGAAGGAUGACUGCCCUACGGGUUGUAAACCUCUUUUGUCAGGGAGCAAUUGGCGCUACGUGUAGCGUUCUCUAGAGUACCUGAAGAAAAAGCAUCGGCUAACUCCGUGCCAGCAGCCGCGGUAAUACGGAGGAUGCGAGCGUUAUCCGGAUUUAUUGGGUUUAAAGGGUGCGUAGGAGGAAUGCCAAGUCAGCGGUAAAAUCGCGGGGCUCAACCUCGCUCCGCCGUUGAAACUGGCGUUCUGGAGUGGGCGAGAAGUAUGCGGAAUGCGUGGUGUAGCGGUGAAAUGCAGAGAUAUCACGCAGAACUCCGAUUGCGAAGGCAGCAUACCGGCGCCCAACUGACGCUGAAGCACGAAAGCGUGGGUAUCGAACAGGAUUAGAUACCCGUGUAGUC
rnacentral:rRNA from 1 species